rnacentral:rRNA from 1 species
GAUGAACGCUGGCGGCGUGCCUAAUACAUGCAAGUCGAGCGAACAGAUGAGGAGCUUGCUCCUCUGACGUUAGCGGCGGACGGGUGAGUAACACGUGGAUAACCUACCUAUAAGACUGGGAUAACUUCGGGAAACCGGCGCUAAUACCGGAUAAUAUAUUAAACCGCAUUGUUCAAUAGUGAAAGACGUUUUUGCUGUCACUUAUAGCUGGAUCCGCGCCGCAUUAGCUAGUUGGUAAGGUAACGGCUUACCAAGGCAACGAUGCGUAGCCGACCUGAGAGGGGGGUCGGCAGCACGGGAGGUGGACCACGGACAAGAGUACUAAGGGAGGCAGCAGAAGGGAAUCGGCGGCAAUGGGGGAAAGCAUGACGGAGCAAGGGAGCGUGAGAGAUAAAGGUCUCGGGAUAGGAAAAAUGGGUUAUGAGGGAAAAACAAAUGUGAAAGGAAAAAUACAGGAAGUGACGGUACCUAAACAAAAAGCCACGGCUAACUACGUG